GUCGAGAAUCUUCCGCAAUGCGCGAAAGCGUGACGGAGCGACACCGCGUGAUGGAUGAAGUCCUUCGGGGCGUAAACAUCUUUUAUAAAGGAGGAAAUUUUUGACGUUACUUUAUGAAUAAGGGGCUCCCAAUCUCGUGCCAGCAGGAGCGGUAAUACGAGAGCCUCAAGCGUUAUCCGGAAUCAUUGGGCGUAAAGGGUGCGUAGGUGGUUUGAUUAGUCUCCCUUUAAAACUUCGAGCUUAACUCGAAAAGAGCGGGGGAAACGGUCAAACUAGAGUAUGUGAGAGGUGUGUGGAACUCAUGGUGUAGGGGUGAAAUCCGUUGAUAUCAUGGGGAACACCAAAAGCGAAGGCAGCACACUGGCACAUCACUGACACUGAGGCACGAAACCUAAGGUAGCGAAUGGGAUUAGAAACCCUAGUAGUCC
rnacentral:rRNA from 1 species